GACGAACGCUGGCGGCGUGCUUAACACAUGCAAGUCGAACGGAAAGGCCCUGCUUUUGUGGGGUGCUCGAGUGGCGAACGGGUGAGUAACACGUGAGUAACCUGCCCUUGACUUUGGGAUAACUUCAGGAAACUGGGGCUACUACCGGAUAGGAGCUCCUGCUGCAUGGUGGGGGUUGGAAAGUUUCGGCUGUUGGGGAUGGACUCGCGGCUUAUCAGCUUGUUGGUGGGGUAGUGGAUGACCAAGGCUUUGACGGGUAGCCGGCCUGAGAGGGUGACCGGCCACCUGGGGCCUGCGGUACGGACCAGACUCGUACGGUAGGCAGCAGUGGGGAAUAUUGCACAGUGAGCGGACGUCUGAUGCAGCAACGCCGCGUGCGGGAUGACGUCCUUCGGGGUGUAAACCGCUUUCGCCUGUGACGAAGCGUGAGUGACGGUAAUGGGUAAAGAAGCACCGGCUAACUACGUG
rnacentral:rRNA from 1 species